UACGUAGGGUGCGAGCGUUGUCCGGAAUUAUUGGGCGUAAAGGGCUCGUAGGCGGUUGUCGCGUCGGGAGUGAAAUCCACUGGCUUAACUGGUGGCUUGCUUCGAUACGGGCAGACUGGAGGUAUGCAGGGGAGAACGGAAUUCCUGGUGUAGCGGUGAAAUGCGCAGAUAUCAGGAGGAACACCGGUGGCGAAGGCGGUUCUCUGGGCGAUGUCCUGACGCUGAGGAGCGAAAGUGUGGGGAGCGAACAGG
rnacentral:rRNA from 1 species